GUACUUGUAUGAAUGUGAUGGAAGCUAAAGAAGUAUGUAAGGAGCGUAGUAGGUGGCGCUCUGUAGUUUCUGUAUACCAUCAGAUGUAUGAAUGUGGUGGAAGCUAAAGAAGUAUGUAAGGAGCGUAGUAGGCGGCGCUCUGUAGUUUCUGUAUACCAUCAGAUGUAUGAAUGUGGUGGAAGCUAAAGAAGUAUGUAAGGAGCGUAGUAGGUGGCGCUCUGUAGUUUCUGUAUACCAUCAGAUGUAUGAAUGUGAUGGAAGCUAAAGAAGUAUGUAAGGAGCGUAGUAGGUGGCGCUCUGUAGUUUCUGUAUACCAUCAGAUGUAUGAAUGUGAUGGAAGCUAAAGAAGUAUGUAAGGAGCGUAGUAGGUGGCGCUCUGUAGUUUCUGUAUACCAUCAGAUGUAUGAAUGUGAUGGAAGCUAAAGAAGUAUGUAAGGAGCGUAGUAGGCACCUAGCUUCUAUAUAGG